rnacentral:rRNA from 1 species
CGCAACCCUCGCCCUUAGUUGCCAGCAUUAGUUGGGCACUCUAAGGGGACUGCCGGUGAUAAGCCGAGAGGAAGUGGGGAUGACGUCAAGUCCUCAUGGCCCUUACGGGCUGGGCUACACACGUGCUACAAUGGUGGUGACAGUGGGCAGCGAGCACGCGAGUGUGAGCUAAUCUCCAAAAGCCAUCUCAGUUCGGAUUGCACUCUGCAACUCGAGUGCAUGAAGUUGGAAUCGCUAGUAAUCGCGGAUCAGCAUCGCCGCGGUGAAUACGUUCCCGGGCCUUG